rnacentral:rRNA from 1 species
GACGAGGCACUACGGUGCUGAAGCAACAAAUGCCCUGCUUCCAGGAAAAGCCUCUAAGCAUCAGGUAACAUCAAAUCGUACCCCAAACCGACACAGGUGGUCAGGUAGAGAAUACCAAGGCGCUUGAGAGAACUCGGGUGAAGGAACUAGGCAAAAUGGUGCCGUAACUUCGGGAGAAGGCACGCUGAUAUGUAGGUGAAGUCCCUCGCGGAUGGAGCUGAAAUCAGUCGAAGAUACCAGCUGGCUGCAACUGUUUAUUAAAAACACAGCACUGUGCAAACACGAAAGUGGACGUAUACGGUGUGACGCCUGCCCGGUGCCGGAAGGUUAAUUGAUGGGGUCAGCGCAAGCGAAGCUCUUGAUCGAAGCCCCGGUAAACGGCGGCCGUAACUAUAACGGUCCUAAGGUAGCGAAAUUCCUUGUCGGGUAAGUUCCGACCUGCACGAAUGGCGUAAUGAUGGCCAGGCUGUCUCCACCCGAGACUCAGUGAAAUUGAACUCGCUGUGAAGAUGCAGUGUACCCGCGGCAAGACGGAAAGACCCCGUGAACCUUUACUAUAGCUUGACACUGAACAUUGAGCCUUGAUGUGUAGGAUAGGUGGGAGGCUUAGAAGUGUGGACGCCAGUCUGCAUGGAGCCGACCUUGAAAUACCACCCUUUAAUGUUUGAUGUUCUAACGUUGACCCGUAAUCCGGGUUGCGGACAGUGUCUGGUGGGUAGUUUGACUGGGGCGGUCUCCUCCUAAAGAGUAACGGAGGAGCACGAAGGUUGGCUAAUCCUGGUCGGACAUCAGGAGGUUAGUGCAAUGGCAUAAGCCAGCUUGACUGCGAGCGUGACGGCGCGAGCAGGUGCGAAAGCAGGUCAUAGUGAUCCGGUGGUUCUGAAUGGAAGGGCCAUCGCUCAACGGAUAAAAGGUACUCCGGGGAUAACAGGCUGAUACCGCCCAAGAGUUCAUAUCGACGGCGGUGUUUGGCACCUCGAUGUCGGCUCAUCACAUCCUGGGGCUGAAGUAGGUCCCAAGGGUAUGGCUGUUCGCCAUUUAAAGUGGUACGCGAGCUGGGUUUAGAACGUCGUGAGACAGUUCGGUCCCUAUCUGCCGUGGGCGCUGGAGAACUGAGGGGGGCUGCUCCUAGUACGAGAGGACCGGAGUGGACGCAUCACUGGUGUU